rnacentral:ncRNA from 1 species
GCGGGUCAAAUGCAGUAGCCGAAAGGUGAACCGGACCCGUGCGAAAGGAGAGAUACUUCCCGUGGGUGAAAAUCCCCGAAACUGCCCUUUGAUAGUCCUACGCGGACGCUGCUUGCAUGGCGGGUUAUUGUGCUACCCCGUUUCAUGCGCAGGGCUUACGCAGUUUAGAGGCACACCGACAACGCAACUGUACGGAGGGCGAAUACUUUUUAUAUGACCA